rnacentral:tRNA from 1 species
UGGAACUGUGGCUCAGUGCCAGAACAUCUGCUUGGCAUACAGAAGGUCCCAGGUUCAAUCCCCGCCAUCUCAG